rnacentral:rRNA from 1 species
UACGGGAGGCAGCAGUGAGGAAUAUUGGACAAUGGAGGCAACUCUGAUCCAGCCAUGCCGCGUGCAGGAAGACUGCCCUAUGGGUUGUAAACUGCUUUUAUACAGGAAGAAACCUUGGUACGUGUACCAAGCUGACGGUACUGUAARAAUAAGGAUCGGCUAACUCCGUGCCAGCAGCCGCGGUAAUA